rnacentral:rRNA from 1 species
UACGUAGGGGGCAAGCGUUGUCCGGAAUCAUUGGGCGUAAAGAGCGUGUAGGCGGCCCGGUAAGUCCGCUGUGAAAGUCGGGGGCUCAACCCUCGAAUGCCGGUGGAUACUGUCGGGCUAGAGUGCGGAAGAGGCGAGUGGAAUUCCUGGUGUAGCGGUGAAAUGCGCAGAUAUCAGGAGGAACACCAGUGGCGGAAGGCGGUGCUCUGGGCCGGAACUGACGCUGAGGAGCGAAAGCGUGGGGAGCAAACAGG